GACGAACGCUGGCGGCGUGCCUAAUACAUGCAAGUCGAACGCUUCCUACCGGUGCUUGCACCGGGAAAGAAGAGUGGCGGACGGGUGAGUAACACGUGGGUAACCUACCUACAAGCGGGGGAUAACAUUCGGAAACGGAUGCUAAUACCGAAUAGAUCUUUUUGUCUCCUGGCAGAAAGAAGAAAGACGGUUUCGGCUGUCACUUGCAGUUGGACCCGCGGCGCAUUAGUUAGUUGGUGAGGUAAUGGCUCACCAAGACGAUGAUGCGUAGCCGACCUAAGAGGGGGAUGGGCCACGCUGGGACUGAGCCACGGCCCAGACUCCUGCGGGAGGCAGCAGUAGGGAAUCUUCCGCAAUGGACGAAAGUCUGACGGAGCAACGCCGCGUGAGUGAAGAAGGUUUUCGGUUCGUAAAACUCUGUUGUUAGAGAAGAACAAGGAUGAGAGUAACUGCUCGUCCCUUGACGGUAUCUAACCAGAAAGCCAUGGCUAACUACGUGCCAGCCGCCGCCGUAA
rnacentral:rRNA from 1 species